rnacentral:rRNA from 1 species
GACAUAGGUGGCAAACGUUAUCCGGAAUUAUUGGGCGUAAAGCGCGCGCAGGCGGUCCUUUAAGUCUGAUGUGAAAGCCCACGGCUCAACCGUGGAGGGUCAUUGGAAACUGGGGGACUUGAGUACAGAAGAGAAGAGUGGAAUUCCACGUGUAGCGGUGAAAUGCGUAGAGAUGUGGAGGAACACCAGUGGCGAAGGCGACUCUUUGGUCUGUAACUGACGCUGAGGCGCGAAAGCGUGGGGAGCAAACAGG